rnacentral:rRNA from 1 species
GAUGAACGCUGGCGGCGUGCCUAAUACAUGCCAGUCGAGCGAACAGACGAGGAGCUUGCUCCUCUGACGUUAGCGGCGGACGGGUGAGUAACACGUGGAUAACCUACCUAUAAGACUGGGAUAACUUCGGGAAACCGGAGCUAAUACCGGAUAAUAUAUUGAACCGCAUGGUUCAAUAGUGAAAGACGGUUUUGCUGUCACUUAUAGAUGGAUCCGCGCCGCAUUAGCUAGUUGGUAAGGUAACGGCUUACCAAGGCGACGAUGCGUAGCCGACCUGAGAGGGUGAUCGGCCACACUGGAACUGAGACACGGUCCAGACUCCUACGGGAGGCAGAAGUAGGGAAUCUUCCGCAAUGGGCGAAAGCCUGACGGAGCAACGCCGCGUGAGUGAUGAAGGUCUUCGGAUCGUAAAACUCUGUUAUUAGGGAAGAACAAAUGUGUAAGUAACUAUGCACGUCUUGACGGUACCUAAUCAGAAGGCCACGGCUAACUACGUG